ensembl:lncRNA
GCAGGGUGGUCUGGCUGGGAGCCUCCUGACCUGUGUUUUCCUCAGGCAGCAGCAGGUGUCUUCUACAGGGGCAGGGUGGUCUGGCUGGGAGCCUCCUGACCUGUGUGUUCCUCAGGCAGCAGCAGGUGUCUUCUACAGGGGCAGGGUGGUCUGGCUGGGAGCCUCCUGACCUGUGUGUUCCUCAGGCAGCAGCAGGUGUCUUCUACAGGGGCAGGGUGGUCUGGCUGGGAGCCUCCUGACCGGUGUGUUCCUCAGGCAGCAGCAGGUGUCUUCUACAGGGGCAGGGUGGUCUGGCUGGGAGUCUCCUGACCUGUGUGUUCCUCAGGCAGCAGCAGGUGUCUUCUACAGGGGCAGGGGGGUCUGGCUGGGAGCCUCCUGACCUGUGUGUUCCUCAGGCAGCAGCAGGUGUCUUCUACAGGGGCAGGGUGG